rnacentral:rRNA from 1 species
GGCUCAGGACGAACGCUGGCGGCGUGCUUAACACAUGCAAGUCGAACGGUGAAGCCCUUCGGGGUGGAUCAGUGGCGAACGGGUGAGUAACACGUGGGCAAUCUGCCCUGCACUCUGGGACAAGCCCUGGAAACGGGGUCUAAUACCGGAUAUUACCUUCCUCUGCAUGGGGGUUGGUGGAAAGCUCCGGCGGUGCAGGAUGAGCCCGCGGCCUAUCAGCUUGUUGGUGGGGUAAUGGCCUACCAAGGCGACGACGGGUAGCCGGCCUGAGAGGGCGACCGGCCACACUGGGACUGAGACACGGCCCAGACUCCUACGGGAGGCAGCAGUGGGGAAUAUUGCACAAUGGGCGAAAGCCUGAUGCAGCGACGCCGCGUGAGGGAUGACGGCCUUCGGGUUGUAAACCUCUUUCAGCAGGGAAGAAGCGAAAGUGACGGUACCUGCAGAAGAAGCACCGGCUAACUACGUGCCAGCAGCCGCGGUAAUACGUAGGGUGCGAGCGUUGUCCGGAAUUAUUGGGCGUAAAGAGCUCGUAGGCGGCCUGUCGCGUCGGUUGUGAAAGCCCGGGGCUUAACCCCGGGUCUGCAGUCGAUACGGGCAGGCUAGAGUUCGGUAGGGGAGAUCGGAAUUCCUGGUGUAGCGGUGAAAUGCGCAGAUAUCAGGAGGAACACCGGUGGCGAAGGCGGAUCUCUGGGCCGAUACUGACGCUGAGGAGCGAAA